rnacentral:rRNA from 1 species
GACGAACGCUGGCGGCAGGCUUAACACAUGCAAGUCGAACGAGUGUAGCAAUACACUAGUGGCGCACGGGUGCGUAACGCGUGGGAACCUUCCUCGUAGUUCGGAAUAACUCAGGGAAACUUGGGCUAAUACCGAAUGCCUCCUUCGGGAGAAAGAUUUAUCGCUACGAGAUGGGGCCCGCGUCAGAUUAGGUAGUUGGUAGGGUAAUGGCCUACCAAGCCGACGAUCUGUAGCUGGUCGAGAGGAUGAUCAGCCACACUGGGACUGAGACACGGCCCAGACUCCUACGGGAGGCAGCAGUGGGGAAUAUUGGACAAUGGGGGCAACCCUGAUCCAGCCAUGCCGCGUGAGUGAAGAAGGCCUUC